CUUUUUCAGUGUUGCAGAAGUCGACACUGUGGAUGGGUUCCAGGGCCGGGAGAAGGACUGCAUCAUUGUCAGCUGUGUCAGAGCGCAAAGCACGCAAGGGUCAAUAGGGUUCCUGAAGAGUCUGCAGCGUCUGAAUGUCACCCUCACCCGAGCCAAGUACAGCCUCUUCAUCCUGGGACACCUGAAGACGCUCAUGUAAAAUUAAAAUUGGAAUGCAUUGAUUCAGGAUGCUCAGAAAAGAGGUUCUUUUAUCAAGACCUCAAAUGCCAUGUCAACAGUAUUCCUUGCUUUGCAUGUAGUGCUAAGAAGAUCCUGAAGUCUCUGCCAGUACAGCCGAGACUGGAGAAAGCCAUGUGAGGACCGGUGAGUGUGGAGGCUGAGUCACAUGAAGCUCCGGGGCAACAUUCUCUCAAGUGAUGGAGGACAACACAGUAAUAAAAGCACGGUAACAAUUUUUUUUGGGGGGGGGGAUAGAACCCCCAAGCCACGAAAUAAACGUUGUUUUCACAGUAUGUUUUGCUCUUUCUGAAUGUUUUUCUUAUAACAGUGUGUUUGCUGGCAGGGUGGUGUUGAGCUCUUAGGUGAUUCUUAAUAGACAGCAGUUUGCUUCAGCAGCUGUUUCCCUCAUACACUCUUGUGUCCACCUUGUGUAGCAGCCUCUGUGGCCUUAUGGCUGAUGGAUGUGCCAUCACUGGCUCCUGUACAGCAUUCUUGCAUUUGAGGCCACUUCCAAGUAAUCUCGCCCCUUUCCUCUUUAACAAUGCUCACAAUUCAGAGUGGGCUCUCAAUCCUGGGCUGAGAUUUUUAUUCAUCUGUAGGGUAGUUGAAUAUGAUUUAAAUUCCAUUUAAAUUCCACCAGCCAAUACUUUUAAAAGGGCUGGACGAUUUAGAGCUACAGUUCUUGAAAUUUGCUCGCAGACCAUAAUCUUGAUUAUUUAUUUUUAAAGGGUCCCCAUUUUCUCCUUUGCCUGUGCACUUUGAGUUUCUCUCAACUUUCCACCAUCUCAUUAAAAUGUAUUUUGGUCCAAGGUAA